rnacentral:rRNA from 1 species
CCUACGGGAGGCAGCAGUGGGGAAUCUUAGACAAUGGGCGCAAGCCUGAUCUAGCCAUGCCGCGUGAGUGACGAAGGCCUUAGGGUCGUAAAGCUCUUUCGCCAGGGAUGAUAAUGACAGUACCUGGUAAAGAAACCCCGGCUAACUCCGUGCCAGCAGCCGCGGUAAUACGGAGGGGGUUAGCGUUGUUCGGAAUUACUGGGCGUAAAGCGCACGUAGGCGGACUGGAAAGUUGGGGGUGAAAUCCCGGGGCUCAACCUCGGAACUGCCUCCAAAACUACUAGUCUAGAGUUCGAGAGAGGUGAGUGGAAUUCCGAGUGUAGAGGUGAAAUUCGUAGAUAUUCGGAGGAACACCAGUGGCGAAGGCGGCUCACUGGCUCGAUACUGACGCUGAGGUGCGAAAGUGUGGGGAGCAAACAGGAUUAGAUACCCUGGUAGUCCACACCGUAAACGAUGAAUGCCAGUCGUCGGCAAGCAUGCUUGUCGGUGACACACCUAACGGAUUAAGCAUUCCGCCUGGGGAGUACGGUCGCAAGAUUAAAACUCAAAGGAAUUGACGGA